AUUGAACGCUGGCGGCAGGCUUAACACAUGCAAGUCGAGCGGAGAUGAGGUGCUUGCACCUUAUCUUAGCGGCGGACGGGUGAGUAAUGCUUAGGAAUCUGCCUAUUAGUGGGGGACAACAUUCCGAAAGGAAUGCUAAUACCGCAUACGUCCUACGGGAGAAAGCAGGGGAUCUUCGGACAUUGCGCUAAUAGAUGAGCCUAAGUCGGAUUAGCUAGUUGGUGGGGUAAAGGCCUACCAAGGCGACGAUCUGUAGCGGGUCUGAGAGGAUGAUCCGCCACACUGGGACUGAGACACGGCCCAGACUCCUACGGGAGGCAGCAGUGGGGAAUAUUGGACAAUGGGGGAAACCCUGAUCCAGCCAUGCCGCGUGUGUGAAGAAGGCCUUAUGGUUGUAAAGCACUCUAAGCGAGGAGGAGGCUACUGAGACUAAUACUCUUGGAUAGUGGACGUUACUCGCAGAAUAAGCACCGGCUAACUCUGUGCCAGCCGCCGCCGUAACAC
rnacentral:rRNA from 1 species